rnacentral:rRNA from 1 species
CCUACGGGUGGCAGCAGUGAGGAAUAUUGGUCAAUGGCCGGAAGGCUGAACCAGCCAUGCCGCGUGAAGGUCAGUGCCCUAUGGGCGUUAAACUUCUUUUGUGCGGGAGCAAUAAUGGUCACGUGUGGCCAGACGAGAGUACCGUACGAAUAAGCAUCGGCUAACUCCGUGCCAGCAGCCGCGGUAAUACGGGGGGUGCAAGCGUUAUCCGGAUUUAUUGGGUUGAAAGGGUGCGUAGGCUGUGAGGUAAGUCAGCGGUGAAAUGCCCCCGCUCAACGGGGUGAAGUGCCAUUGAUACUGCCUUGCUGGAAUGCGGAUGCGGUAGGAGGAAUGUGUGGUGUAGCGGUGAAAUGCGUAGAUAUCAGACAGAACACCGAUUGCGAAGGCAGCUCACGAAUCCGCGAUUGACGCUGAUGCACGAAAGCGUGGGUAUCAAACAGGAUUAGAUACCCCGGUAGUC